rnacentral:lncRNA from 1 species
GUAGCGCGAGCUUGUUACCCAAGCGGGGGCAAUAAGGUGGUGAGAACAGUCAUGGUUCUCAACCCAUGACGGUGAAGGGUGCCACAAAUUUGGACCCUUGCCCUUAUUGUAAAAUAAGGUAAGGACUGAAGAGUAUCUUUGGGCCUGCUGGCUUCACAGAGCAGUUGUUGUGCCUUGCUAACCAGUUACGCUACCAGUCCAAGCCACCACUUCUAUGUCGGGGUAGUCAUUGGUUGAACCAUCACCUUUUUAUUCUUUCUUCUUUUAACGAUUUUUAUUCUUUCUUUUUUUAACGACUUGGGCAAAUGCAUGUUUACCACUUCUAUGUCGGGGUAGUCAUUGGUUGAACCAUCACCUUUUUAUUCUUUCUUCU